rnacentral:rRNA from 1 species
AAACGAUAGCUAAUACCUGAUAAGAAAGAAAACUCGCAUGAGAGAAGUUCGAAAAAGUCGGAGCAAUCUGACACUAUAAGAUGGCUUUGCGGUGCAUUAGCUAGUUGGUGGGUAAAAAGCCUACCAAGGCGACGAUGCAUAGCCCGACCCUGAGAGGGUGAUCGGGCCACAUUGGGACUGAGACACGGCCCAGACUCCUACGGGAGGCAGCAGUAGGGAAUCUUCCGCAAUGGACGCAAGUCUGACGGAGCAACGCCGCGUGAGUGAAGAAGGAUUUCGGUUCGUAAAACUCUGUUGUUAGGGAAGAAAAAAUGUAUAGUAACUAUAUACAAAAGAGACGGUACCUAACCAGAAAGCCACGGCUAACUACGUGCCAGCAGCCGCGGUAAU